UACGUAGGGGGCAAUCGUUGUCCGGAAUCAUUGGGCGUAAAGCGCGUGUAGGCGGCUCGGUAAGUCCGCUCUGAAAGUCCAGGGCUCAACCCUGGGAUGCGGGUGGAUACUGCCGAGCUCGAGUCCGGAAGAGGCGAGUGGAAUUCCUGGUGUAGCGGUGAAAUGCGCAGAUAUCAGGAGGAACACCAAUGGCGAAGGCAGCUCGCUGGGACGUGACUGACGCUGAGACGCGAAAGCGUGGGGAGCAAACAGG
rnacentral:rRNA from 1 species